rnacentral:rRNA from 1 species
UACGAAGGGGGCUAGCGUUGUUCGGAAUUACUGGGCGUAAAGCGCACGUAGGCGGACAUUUAAGUCAGGGGUGAAAUCCCAGAGCUCAACUCUGGAACUGCCUUUGAUACUGAGGGUCUUGAGUUCGGGAGAGGUGAGUGGAACUGCGAGUGUAGAGGUGAAAUUCGUAGAUAUUCGCAAGAACACCAGUGGCGAAGGCGGCUCACUGGCCCGAUACUGACGCUGAUGCACGAAAGCGUGGGGAGCAAACAGG